UAAUACAUCGGAACGUACCUUAUCGUGGGGGAUAACGCAGCGAAAGCUGUGCUAAUACCGCAUACGCCCUGAGGGGGAAAGCGGGGGAUCGAAAGACCUCGCGCGAUUAGAGCGGCCGAUGCCUGAUUAGCUUGUUGGUGGGGUAAAAGCCCACCAAGGCGACGAUCAGUAGCUGGUCUGAGAGGACGAUCAGCCACACUGGGACUGAGACGCGGCCCAGACUCCUACGGGAGGCAGCAGUGGGGAAUUUUGGACAAUGGGGGAAACCCUGAUCCAGCAAUGCCGCGUGAGUGAAGAAGGCCUUCGGGUUGUAAAGCUCUUUUGUCAGGGAAGAAACACCGGCUCUAACACAGUCCGGGAAUGACGGUACCUGAAGAAUAAGCACCGGCUAACUACGUGCCAGCAGCCGCGGUAAUACGUAGGGUGCGAGCGUUAAUCGGAAUUACUGGGCGUAAAGCGUGCGCAGGCGGUUAUACAAGACAGGCGUGAAAUCCCCGGGCUUAACCUGGGAAUGGCGCCUGUGACUGUAUAGCUAGAGUGUGUCAGAGGGGGGUAGAAUUCCACGUGUAGCAGUGAAAUGCGUAGAUAUGUGGAGGAAUACCAAUGGCGAAGGCAGCCCCCUGGGAUAACACUGACGCUCAUGCACGAAAGCGUGGGGAGCAAACAGGAUUAGAUACCCUGGUAGUCCACGCCCUAAACGAUGCUGACUAGUUGUUCGGGAUUUACAUCCUGAGUAACGUAGCUAACGCGUGAAGUCAGCCGCCUGGGGAGUACGGUCGC
rnacentral:rRNA from 1 species